GAAAGCGUGUAACUUUGGCCUAAUAAUGAACUUUUCAUGGCGAAGAAGAAAUACACGAACUAACUGGCCACUUCAGAGACGCUGUCAGUAUCGGUUCUGUUUGCUCCAAGCCAAGUCAGAGUGAAAACCCUGUUAUGCUGUAAGUCUAAAUCAAUGGCCGUUAUCUCUUGGCAUGAAUCGAAUGGCAAAUUCGAUUCAAAUGAGGAACAAUUUAAGAUCCAGAUGUGGGCUCCCCGGUGAAUGUCUUUGCAUAGAGAGAGAGGGAAGGAAACGUUCAAGAUUCUGGAUGAGGGACAGAGCGGAUGGAGAAGGGGAAAGGCUGGAUACAAAGGGAGAGAGAGGGAGCAUCCCUCCUGCUGUACCCACCUGCCCCCCUGCAUAUGCCAGAAAAAUGAGAAUAGAUUGGCCCAUCCGUGGAUGGUGCCAGGUGGCAUUUAGACCCCCAAGAAGAUAUGUGUGCAGUCUAUCUACCUCACAGUGACAGACGUUGGGCCUGGAGAGAGAGGAAAAGAAAAAAGGAAGCAAGUCGGAAAGGAUAGUAACGGAGGAGGGGGAAAGCAGAAAAACCCUAGUAGGUUCAAGUAAAUGUGUUGUCCUGCUAAAGGCACGCUUGUUUUCUUGUCAUUAUCUCAAGCUGCUGUUGCACAGCGAGCCAGAUGUACAUGUGGGAGUACGCAAACGGGCUAGUGACAAUAGGAAUGCCCCUUUUUGCAUUGCCAUGUAAUCUUAGCCUUUUCCUUGUUUUGAAACCGUACUUGAGCUGGAUUUGAAAUCCUGUUAUAUGGAUUAGUGAACACUUAAACAUUAUGGAAAUUAAAAAUCAGGGAGCACAGAUGUGAUUUUGCAACACACAUGCCUAAAGGAAUGUUUUUAUGAUUUAAUACAAGUUAAGUUCAAUCAAGAGCAUCUGUGGUAUAAUGUUCAUUACCACAAAAAACAGUUUCAACAUCACUUUCUUUAUUAAGAAUUUCGGGUUAAAUUAAGAAUAUUUCAGGUUAAGUUCAGUCAACAGCAUACAUGGUAUAAUGUUAGUUAUCACAAAAAAUUGAUUCUGCUCAAACGUUUUCUUUUUUUUUAAACCAAAAAUCAAGGCUACAUUGAGGUACGUAUAAUCAAAGUAAAUGGCACCAGUAAUUUAGAGGAUUUAAAAGCAGGAAUGUGAAGUAUUGCAAUUUUAUAAAACCACUUACUUUUGUUAAAACUUGAGUUUUAUUUGAGCUGCAAAACUAUUUAGAUCAUAAUUUUUACAGUGAUUUUGGAGCAUUACCUUGUCAUGGCAAUGAAGUUACAACUACAGUUGUAUAUACUGUAACUUUACAAAGAAAAGGUUAGUAAACAAUUUUUCAGAGCAUGUUGUUCAUAUCUUGUGGAUAUACUUUUGAAAGAGCAAAUAGUUUAAUGUAUUCACGUGUUAAAGAAAAGGAAAUGAAUUUUUGUGGAAAUCAACAUCAUGCCACAAUGGCUGUCACUUGUACUGUACC
ensembl:lncRNA